CUCACAGUCUGCAUGGCUCUC
rnacentral:miRNA from 1 species